UUGCAGAUCCUGGCUGGCUGGAACCUAACCCUGGGAGUGCUAGACUGCAGGCCCGAAGGACUGAGUAACAAGGAUGAAGAGAAUAUCUUAAAAGGACUUAGAAAUAAAAGAUGAUCAACCAAGAAUUGGAAGAUUGACAGCUGAC
rnacentral:lncRNA from 1 species